rnacentral:tRNA from 1 species
GGGGCUGUGGUCUAGUGGCUAUGACGUUGGGCUCCAGACCCAAAUGCCGAGGGUUCAAGUCCUUCCAGCCCCACCA